GUUUUUUUAGAAAUAAAUUUAAUUUACAAGUUUUUAAUUUUUUGUUUAUUUAUUAAAAUAAAAAAAUUAUUAAUUUGAAUAUUUUAAGGGAUAAGCUUUAAAAUAAAUUAUUAAAAAUUAGUAAUUUUAAUAUAAAAUGUAUGAAUAGAAUUUUCAAUCAUUUGUAAAUUUGUUAUAAAUUAUUUUAUAAUUUUUAUUAUUUACUAUUAUUUUAAGUUUUUAUAAAAAUUUUUUCAUAAAUUUUUUAUGAAAAUUAAUAAUGAUAAAAUUAGUAUAUUUAUAUUGUACAUAUAAUUUUAUUUGAUAAGUUUAUAUAAAGAACUCGGCAAAUUUAUAUACUCGCCUGUUUAACAAAAACAUGUCUUUUUGAGUUAUUUUUAAAGUCUGACCUGCCCACUGAAUAAUUUUGAAUGGCCGCAGUAUUUUAACUGUGCAAAGGUAGCAUAAUCAUUAGUCUUUUAAUUGAAGGCUGGUAUGAAUGGUUGGACGAAGUAUAAACUGUUUCAUAAAAAUUUAUUGUAGAAUUUUAUAUUUUAGUUAAAAAGCUAAAAUUUAAUUAAAAGACGAGAAGACCCUAUAAAUCUUUAUAUUUAAUAUAAUUUUAAUUUUUUUGAUGUAUUUUAUUUUAAUUUUAUUAAUUAUUUUGUUGGGGUGAUGUUAAAAUUUAAUGAACUUUUAAUUAUUAAAAAUCAUUAAUUUAUGAUUUAUUGAUCCGUUAAUAACGAUUAUAAGAUUAAGUUACUUUAGGGAUAACAGCGUAAUUUUUUUGGAGAGUUCUUAUCGAUAAAAAAGUUUGCGACCUCGAUGUUGGAUUAAGAUAUAUUUUUAGGUGUAGCCGCUUAAAUAUU
rnacentral:rRNA from 1 species